UACAGAGGUGGCAAGCGUUGUUCGGAAUUACUGGGCGUAAAGGGCGCGUAGGCGGUCUUGUAAGUCUCGUGUGAAAUCCCUCGGCUUAACUGAGGAACUGCACGGGAUACUGCAUGACUUGAGAUCGGGAGAGGGAAGCGGAAUUCCGGGUGUAGCGGUGAAAUGCGUAGAUAUCCGGAGGAACACCGGUGGCGAAGGCGGCUUCCUGGACCGACACUGACGCUGAGGCGCGAAAGCGUGGGGAGCGAACAGG
rnacentral:rRNA from 1 species